rnacentral:rRNA from 1 species
UACGUAGGGACCAAGCGUUGUUCGGAUUUACUGGGCGUAAAGGGCGCGUAGGCGGCGUGACAAGUCACUUGUGAAAUCUCUGGGCUUAACCCAGAACGGCCAAGUGAUACUGUCGUGCUAGAGUGCGGAAGGGGCUACUGGAAUUCCGUGGUAGCGGUGAAAUGCGCGAUAUCGAGAGGAACACCGUGCGGCGAAGGCAGGGUCAGCUGGGC